CCCAGGUUAGGGGUCUAAUCAGAGCUACAGCUGCAGGCCUACGCCACAGUAAGGCCAGAUCCGAGCCGUGUUUUUGACCUACACCCCUCGCGGCAACACCGGAUCCUAUUUUUUAAUUGGAUAAAUGGGUGGUAAAUGGGUGGGUGAUGACACAGUCAUUAUUAGGCACUGCUGAGGCUUCUUCAUGUAUCUCGAAUAUUUUAUUUACCACCUAGCCACUCCAUUUGCCUGAUGUGGGAUGGAUACUCAGAGAGGUUAAGUAACAUGACCAAGGUCACACAGUCAGUGUGAGGUGGAGAAUGGGAUUUGUUUGAUGGCAGGCUCCUGUAUUUGUGUUCAGGAGCUGGGCAUCUGUAGUCAAAGACAUUUUAGCUGUUGCAUAAGGAUCGGCUGAGUGGAGAAAGGAGUUAGGCUUGGAGACUGUCCGUUCGUGGGUCAAUUGAGACCUGGGAAUAGAGGCAGGUUGAUGCUGGCACAGGAGCAGCAGCAGCAACUUUACUAGCUGAGGUCACCCCUGAGCGAGAAGGAGGCUGGCCUGCCUCCUCCCGCUGACCCAGCCUCAAACUUGUCUUUUGUGAGUCAAUUAGGAGAAAUCUGAACAGGAUGGAAAAUAAACGCCGCAGGAAAUUUGCAGGGGAAGGGUUUGCAGACUUGUCUUUAGACCUGGAUUUGAUAAGUGGCUGGCGGCUAGAAGCCGUAGCUGGCAAGGCCUCUGGGGAGGGAGGGCAUCAGGGCAAACUUCAUAACAAGCACAGUCUCCUUGAUAUGCACCUAUUUUAAGUCUUUUACUCUUUUUCUUCUCAUUUGUUGCAAAAGUGCUUAAGAAGGAAAAGUUAGUAUAGGAACCGGAGGUAAAUAAUGCCGGCUUCAGCUGUAUGCAAGCUGUUCCUCACACACUGUGCUUUUCAUUGUUUAAAAUAGCAAAGGUUUGGGUUUUUUUGGGUCAGAGGAAAAGAACAUGAUGUCUCUUUCCCACCCUUUUCUUCUCUAAUUUUUUUUUUCUUCCUCUGUCUUUGUCCUUUUUCUCUUCCAAAAGGAAGGUGGGGAACAGAAUUGAAAGUUAAGCAGAAAUCCAAAUUCUUCCUCUGUCCUUUUGUCUUACUUUCCUUCUCUUGUUUUCACCUCUCUCUCUCUCUGCGAUAUAUUUGAAGCCCAGCCGGAAAAUUUUGGAAAUUUCGGCCGCAGGAAGAGGGAGACUCGGGAGCUCUUUCCCUUUUCCUAGGAAGGCUUGGAGCGGAGUGAGGGAGUUUGCACAUCCAAGGUCUGCACACACGCAUCCCUCUGUCUCUCACCUGAUUAAAUUCACACCGCAGACGUCUUUCCCCCCCUUGACCUCCUCUCACCGAAUUUUUCUAUUAAAUCAAAGACUAAACAUUGAUGGGGAAGGGGGGGGAAUGCUCUUGGAAGAUAUAAUUAAAAUGUGUUUAUUAUACUGAUUAAAGAGAAGGGUUAUUUGUCUCAUGAAUGACCUUUUCCGGUGAUUUUUUUUUUUUUUUUUUUUUUUUUUUUGGAAAGCAUUCUUGGUUGGUUUAUUCAGAGUGAUUUAAAACUCACAUAAUGGCUCACUUCUGUAAUGCCACCAGGGUUUUUGCAAACCAUGAACUGAGAAGAAACAAGAUCCUCCUCUUUGGGUGCCUGGAGAUGGACCGACUCCUUCACUCCAUUUGCACAGAGGGGCUUUAUGGAGGGUGCCCAGGACCCAGGACCCAGGCCAUGUGACCUUCAGCAGGUCUUCCCCCCUGUGCUGCCCCGAGACCGGGGUGCUGUCCUCCUCACUUCCUCUGUGGUUUAUUGCUGAUACCAGAAUAACCUGCAUAACCCAUGGAGGAGUCGCAGCAGUUUAAUUAAAGUUCAGAGUCAUGUUCACGGGUCUGUAAUUCCUCACUCCCUUCCUGAGAGGGUCCUGGGAAGCCCAGCUUGGCUGUCUGCCUGCUUUGUGUCUCUGAGCAGGGAGGCUGGCCAGCACCCCCACCUGGCCCCCCAACUCGACCCCCUCUGCUGCAAAAGACCCUGGAUCUUGGCCCCUGGGGUGCUCUGAGCCGAAGCCUGAAGGAAUCAGGCCAGAUGCUAGAGGUGUCACCAGUCUGAUCCUACCUCCAUCUCUGGAGGUCUUGACUGAUCGGCUUCACUGAGCCUUGCGGGUCUGCUUUAAGCCGUGUGGCCCAGUGACGACUCUCUGGGUUAGAGACAGUCUUGUGUCUUUCCUCAGGUCCAUAGAGAACCUUAGGGCUCCCCGUUUUUCUAUAGCCAGGAGCAGAUACAAGCCUUCAGAUCCUCCAGCUCUGAGCUUUGCCAUGGUUGACCCUCGUUCUUGUCUAGAGAGCGCAUCUUUUACAGCUUGGAUUCGUGUUUUUCCUGCCCAGUGCUGUGCGUGCUUGAGCAUUGAAAGACACCUCAAGUACGUGUAGAAAACAUGGGGAUGAUGUCAGGUGUAAAUAACUCGAUCAUCACGGGACCGCUGGACCACUCAGCCUUCGUGGAGUCGAGGAAGCAAACUCUCCCAUUUUUGGUGCUGACGCAGCUUGGGGCUGGGGAGUCCUCUCUUUGGAGAGGCUGAUCCUGGUCUUUGAAAGAAAUCUAUCCCACCAAAAAAACAGAAAAGAAAAAGGAUCCCAAUGGCUUCUUAUUUUUGUCUUAAUUCUGAGCUUCCUUAGGCAUAAUGGGAGAUUCCUGGUAGAUUCAAAAAAGGCAUCAGAAGUUCCAGGUUGAAAUGGUGACCUUUCAUGUGCCCCCGCCUUCUCCCCCCCCCCCGCCAGCACCCUCCCCCAAGACCAAGUUCUUAAUGGCUCUGUUCUCAGUUAAGGAGCCCUGAUGGGCACAGAACACUGGACGGGGGCGGUAGAAGAUGUCUGGGCACGGCCAGCUCAAAAUUAGCCAUUUGCAAGCCGUUCGCGAAGCCAAAAAUGAAUGUUGGUAUCAUCUUUCACUUGUGCGGUUUUUCAAAACUCAGCCACAGGUCUUCCUGGAGCCCUAGCUGGGGUUUGAUUUUCUAGGCUGAGAUGAAGAUGAAAAAGACAUGUGUUUGGUAGGAGGGGGAUUGAGACAUUGACCUGCUUUUAAAUGAUAUGAAGAAACUCUUUCUCCUCCCUCCCCUUCCCCACUUCGGCGCUGGUGCUGACUUUGAAAACCCUUCCUAGGGAGGCUGAGAGGUGGGGUGCUUUCUCGAGCUGCUUUCUGCGGUUGGUUUUUUUUUUUUUUUUUUUUUUUUUUUUUUUAAUACGUCUGGAAAUCUAUCUCAGCUCAGAAUCAUCUGUUGGUUCUCAUCACGGAGGGACAGAGAGGAGGGUGCCUGGUUGGCUUGGCCGGUGGGCCUUUGUGGCCGUCCCUCCUUCUGGCCGAGAGAUAACAGGGUGUUUGAACGUCGGUGUUUAUCGCAAGAGAGCAGCGCGGUCAGAGAGGCGCAGAGGAAAGAGCCGGCGGCCCUUCUCUGAUGGAUGCGGAGCAAACUUUUCUUGUGAAGCACAGGCAGCCCACAAGUUUGUCUUUUUCAAGAGAGGAAGAAACUUAAAGUGAAGCUCCAGAGAGAUAAGUUUUUUUCGGUCCGGUGCUUCAUGGAGGCUUAACGAUUCUAGUAGGGCCCUGAAAAUGGCAGAGACCUCAAUUUCCCCCCUAACAGGCUCCCUAACUAGAGAGGUUUGCAAAGCUUAAGGGGAUUAAUGCUCUUUAAACCUCUGCACUGCUUCCUGCUCCUCAUGGGAUCCGGGUGCUAAUAAAGAUGUACCAGCUUGGAAAGGCUGGUAAAUACUGCUUUGUUGCCACGGCAACAGGCGAAACAAGAAGGACGCUGAGUAUUGCUAACAAGAGUCCUUAUGAUCAAGAGUUUAAGGAGGUUAAAAAAAAAAAAAGGUUCUUAAAAAUGCAGAGAGUCUUGGCGAGGUAAUUAGACUUGGUGCUCUCAAAGUAAAUUUAUAGUUUUACGGAGCAUUACUGGAGUGCCUUGUUGCUUGCAAUGUCACCCUCCAUCAAGUGCCGAAGCAGCAUCGCUGCUAAGAGCCACCAGCAUCUGCUGCCAUUGCUCUGGUGAGGCUGGACCAGCCUGAGACGCCUUCCUGGUUUCUCCCUCUCAGUUAGGCGUCACCACGUGUGUUCCCUCACUCGGAAAGCGUUAAAAAGCUCUGUUUCCUGCCUCCUUGGUGUUGAAGGAUAUGAGCGAACAUUCUCCACCUGCCUUCUGUCUGGGAUGUGCCCAUGGUUAGCAGUGAUGAGAGGUGAAAAGGAACUGGAGCAGAAAUACUCCCUGAGCCCGGGUGCUGGGCUGUGCGUUUUCCUUGCUUUGUCUCGCUGCACCUGCUGACCCCGUGCAGCCUAGCUGUUAUUGUGCCAGUUUUUCAUUAUUUAUUUAUUUAUUUAUUUAUUUAUUUAUUUAUUUAUUUAUCUUUGUGCCUUUUUUAAGGCCGCUCCCUCAGCAUAUGGAGGUUCCCAGGCUAGGGGUCUAAUCAGAGCUGUAACUGCCAAGCCUAUGCCAGAGCCAUAGCAAUGCGGGAUCCAAGCCACGUCUGCAACCUACACCACAGCUCACAGCAACGCCGGAUCCUUAACCCACUGAGCAAGGCCAGGGAUCAAACCCGAAACCUCAUGGUUCCUAGUCGGAUUCAUUAACCACUGAGCCACCAUGGGAACUCCUGUGCCAGUUUUUCAGAUAAAGAGACAGAGGGGUUAAGGAACUCGUCCCUAGGGACAGAGCCAGCCAGGGGGCAGAUCCCAGGAGUGGCUGUCAAGCCUGGGCUUUCAGCCCCUGGACGGUAUCUUUGCAGCCCUCCUUGCAGCCAUCCCUGCCCGCUGCUGAGAACCUCAUUCCUGGGUCCUGAGCAGCUCCUGCAGCCCCUGCUGGCAUCUUCUGCCUGACCCCCUGAGACUUCCCAGGGAAUCCAGGGCUUGCUCUCCUGCUCCUUCCCUCCGGGUAUUUGUACACUGUGUCGAACUCCUUGCAGAGGCUUAGGCUUCUCGUGUGUGUCUUAGGUGAGAAGUACGGCUGGCUGGGGAGGCAGGUGGCUUGCUUGAGAUGGCCAGGCGGCCGCACUGACCCUCUCCUGGGUAACGGUGCCUGGCUGUUCAAGCCAAGCACGAGGCUUUGUCCUGGACUCCGCCUCCUGCACAUCUGGCCAGUCUCUACAUACCCACCUCUGCAUCCGCCAUCCCCUGUGUCUGCCAUCACGCCCUGCUGUCUGCCUCUGUCCCCUGUCUCCCUGGUAUCUGCAGUGACUCUCAGGGGACUCCUGCCUCCAGGCCCACGCCGAUCUGGAUCCAUUCAGAGGGAUCUUUCUGAACUGUGAUUCUGAUGGUGCCAAGUCUGUGGCUUUCCAGCCGAGCACCUCAGUGUGGCCUCCAGGGUGCCAGUUGACCGAGCCUUGUCUGUCACUCCACUCCCUGUCAGCCUGGGCUGUCUGCUUAGUAUGUCCCCUGCAGUUUCUCAAUCACCAGGGGCUCCCUCAGUUUGUGGACACAUUAAUCCCUACCCACCUUUCCUUUGACAAAUUCCAGGGCCCUGCAGGACUCAGCCAGACCCACACCAGUCUUCUCCCCACUCUGCAUCGUCUGCUCACACGGCCCCCCUGCCUCCACCCCCACCCCGGGAACUAUGAGUAGGAGACCGGGUUCUGAUCCUCUUGGGGUCCCUAGUACCUGGGAUGUAAUUGGUACUUGGUACGUGUUUAUUAACUGGAGGGGUGAGAGAGUCUUUCCUCACCAGGUUGCCAUGGCAACAGACUCCACCGCCAUUGGAAGUCAAGGGACUCAGGACCUUGGACAUCCCAAGGUCCCACAACUACCCUGCCUGAGCUCCGCUUAGAGUCCCACACCCCCUGCUGUGACUAUUAAACCCAGGUCUCCGUGGAGCCUGAAGACCAGCCUGAGACGCUUUGCAUCCUUGGUCCUAAUGGGAACACGUGAUCUGAGUUUCGUUGCUUGUAAAAUUCUUUUAGGCUGAUAAAGUCAGGACUGGAUUGGAAUUGAACGUGGGACGUUGUCCAGUCUCCGUCGAGAACGCGAUGGCAAACAUUUGCCAUUUAUCUCCCCCUUCCCCCUUCUUCCCCACAGUAUCAGUUUUCUGAUUGAAUUUGGGAAGCAAUGGCAAUUGAUUAAGUUGCAGUGGAGCUUGCCCUAAAAGGAAAUGAUUGAUAAUCCGUUUAGGUCUGAGUUGCUUGCUUUUCCCCUCCUGAUUUCCUUGGCCACUUUUUCAAUUACCAACUGUAUUUAGCCUGCUUUGCUCGCCGUAGCUCAUUUCCCCUUCCUCCAGAAGCUACAGGGAAGCUGCCAUGUAAUAUUGAAGCAGUGGCAUCUCAUUAUUGCCCUGGGACAGCAGUUAGAAAUGCAAAAAUAGAUCUUCCUUGAGGGGGCAGACGAGGGCUGUGGGGCUGUGAAGCAGAACAGGCUGGUCGCAACACAUCAGCCUCUGGGUACUGGAAGGGAGGGCAUGGCUUCCUGGAACAGCACGGCGUCCUGGCCCACGUGGCCCUCUGGGGGCAAAGGUCAUAUGAUGGAUCUCCCAAGGGACAGGUUGGCUCACUUCCGGGAGGAAAACUCCUCUAGGAUGUGACUCCCCAUGAGUGAUGGUUCCUGCCUUUAUCUUCCGAGCUUCAUAUCUUUAUUGUGUUUUACCACCUACAAGGUUCUUCCACCUGUCCAGUUUCAAUAGCUUGAGAUCCUCCCCCACGGCACUGCUAUAACACAGCUUCUAUGUCAGUCCUCCAGAUGGAUGUCUGGUGCCUACCCCCGAGUUGGUGUUCACAACGUUCAUUGCCAAGGCCACCUUCUAGGGUGGGUAUGUGGGGUGUGUGAUUGGACCCAUGUCACAGGAGAGACUUGUCCACCGUGUCUGGAGUAUAGACCCCACCGUGGGGAUGGCGAGGGUCCCUCAUAGAUAAAAUAGCAUCCCUUGUCCCUGCCUGAGGAGCACCCACAUUGAUAAGCAAGGCAAAGGAAUAGCAAGUGGUCCCUCCCAUCCUGCUCACUAAGGUGAGGGGCAGGCUGCUGGGCCCCUGGGGGACUUCCUGGCUGUGCAUGUUCCGGGGCUGGAGUGGGGGCUUCGGGCCAGUGAGGGUGGGGAGCUUGUGCUCUCAGCUGGAGGCACCCUCCGGAAAGGGAGGAAGUUGGUACCCUAUGUAUCUUUCCCACUUUACUCUGAACUGAGUCAUGUUGCCUCUACCCAGAAUGUCCCCGAAAAAAUCAGGGAGUCCCUCAGGAGCUGGAGGCUUCUCCUAAGACAUCCUGGUGGUAUCCUGGGCCUCUGCCCUCCAGCCCAAUCUCUGUUUCCCUCCCGCCCCUGACUCCGAUGCUCAACGUGUUUGGAAUGAGUUCAGUAAUGCCAGCACCUCCCAGCUCACUUCUGCGUCACAACUAAGUCCCUGUGGAUCCUGUAAGGUCUGGUUUACCAAAGGGGGGCCUUGCCCAGAGGGUAUGAGACUGAGGACAGGCUCCACGGCAUGUGGCUGGUCCCCUGCAGCCCUGGGCAGGGGUGUUCACUCUGCGCCCACCCUUCUGGCAGCAGGUCCCCUAUUGGGGAUGGGGAACAGGGGAGAUCCACAGUGUCUCAGGCAUGCAGAGUCCCUGAUUCCCUGAUGAGAGAGAAGCAGCCCCAAUUUUGGUCAGAGUUAAUGGGCUGAAACAGCAGAGCAAUAUUCCUCUUUUCCUGGAAUAUUUCUUCUAAACGUUCAGGUCCAUAACCAGCGCAGCUAAGUCAGCGGAUUGUCAGCGUUCCAGAAAGUGCCGUCUCCCUCGGUGCUGAACUGCCCCCGGAACUGCAAUCGCCUUAGCCCUCCCACACCGCACACCCGUUUGGUGUUCAGGACAUGUUAUUUUAAGGAGCGUGAGGGGAGAGGCGUUUCUCCUAAUAACCCCCCUCCCGUUCUCCCAGAGGGCUCAGGGAUGGAGCUUGCCUGCUGGCUGGCUUGGGGCGCUGACAAAAUAUUUAAGUAAAGGCUCUGGGGAAAAGGACAUACUUAGAUUAUGAAGGAAAACUCCCCACAGUGAUGGCCUUGGCAUAUUAGGCGCCUCUAUAAUUUCACCUCUUCAGCGCCUGUUUCCAGUUACCACACAGCCAUCCGAGGGAAGACAGUGCACUAAAAACGGCCCCACAACAAUCUUUUUGUAAAGACAGUCAACGAUCGAAGCUAUUAAUUGUGUUUCUGACCAAGAGCAACGAUGGUGGGGUUCCCCCUUGGGCUGUGCUUUUGGGCCCUGGUCCUGGAGUGAGAGGGUGGGGGUGGGGGUGUCUGCCCCCCCCCCACUGCAGAGGACUUUGGUUUCUAGGAGACCCCAGCAUCCAGGUGAGACUCAGCCUAUCAAGCUCAAGUGGAGGCAAGGCCCUCACUGGCUGGAGCUGCUUCCUCGCCCUGCUUUUUGAGACUCGUCUUUCCUGGUGGCACAACAACAAAGCCACCACUCUAAGUCACUUGCCCCAUCCCCAGACCAGCCCUUCUGCCAAUUCUAAACCACUAGACCAGUUCCCAGUGUGACUCAGCAGCUGAAGAACCCAACUCGUAUCCCUGAGGAUGUAGGUUCGAUCCCCAGCCUUGCUCAAUGGGUUAAGGCUGUGAGCUGUGGUGUAGGUUGCAGACGAGGCUCGGAUCCCAAGUUGCUGUGGCUGUGCAGCUCUUAUUCAGCCCCUAGCCUGGGAACUUCCAUAUGCCC